CCUACGGGAGGCAGCAGUGGGGAAUAUUGCACAAUGGGGGAAACCCUGAUGCAGCGACGCCGCGUGAGUGAAGAAGUAAUUCGUUAUGUAAAGCUCUAUCAGCAGGGGAGAAAAUUACGGUACCUGUGUAAGAAGCUCCGGCUAACUUCGUGCCAGCAGCCGCGGCAAUACGGAGGGGGCAAGCGUUAUACGGAUUUACUGGGUGUAAAGGGAGUGUAGACGGGAAGACAAGUCAGUUGUGAAAGUUUGAGGCCCAACCGUCAAAUUGCAUUUGAGACUGUUUUUCUUGAGUACUGGAGAGGUAGGCGGAAUUCGUGGUGUAGCGGUGAAAUGCGUAGAUAUAAGGAAGAACACCGAUGGCGAAGGCGGCUUACUAGACAGCCACUGACGGUGAGGCGCGAAAGCGUGGGGAGCAAACAGGAUUAGAUACCCGUGUAGUC
rnacentral:rRNA from 1 species